UACGUAGGGUGCGAGCGUUAAUCGGAAUUACUGGGCGUAAAGCGUGCGCAGGCGGUCUGUUAAGACCGAUGUGAAAUCCCCGGGCUUAACCUGGGAACUGCAUUGGUGACUGGCAGGCUUUGAGUGUGGCAGAGGGAGGUAGAAUUCCACGUGUAGCAGUGAAAUGCGUAGAGAUGUGGAGGAAUACCGGAUGGCGAAGGCAGCCUCCUGGGCCAACACUGACGCUCAUGCACGAAAGCGUGGGAGCAAACAGG
rnacentral:rRNA from 1 species